rnacentral:rRNA from 1 species
UACGUAGGUGACAAGCGUUGUCCGGAUUUACUGGGCGUAAAGAGCGCGCAGGCGGUCGUUCAAGUCGAGUGUGAAAGCCCCCGGCUCAACUGGGGAGGGUCACUCGAUACUGAUCGACUCGAAGGCAGGAGAGGGAAGUGGAAUUCCCGGUGUAGUGGUGAAAUGCGUAGAUAUCGGGAGGAACACCAGUGGCGAAGGCGACUUUCUGGCCUGUUCUUGACGCUGAGGCGCGAAAGCUAGGGGAGCAAACGGG